rnacentral:rRNA from 1 species
CUACGGGUUGCUCCAGUGGGGAAUAUUGCACAAUGGGCGCAAGCCUGAUGCAGCCAUGCCGCGUGUAUGAAGAAGGCCUUCGGGUUGUAAAGUACUUUCAGCGGGGAGGAAGGGAGUAAAGUUAAUACCUUUGCUCAUUGACGUUACCCGCAGAAGAAGCACCGGCUAACUCCGUGCCAGCAGCCGCGGUAAUACGGAGGGUGCAAGCGUUAAUCGGAAUUACUGGGCGUAAAGCGCACGCAGACGGUUUGUUAAGUCAGAUGUGAAAUCCCCGGGCUCAACCUGGGAACUGCAUCUGAUACUGGCAAGCUUGAGUCUCGUAGAGGGGGGUAGAAUUCCAGGUGUAGCGGUGACAUGCGUAGAGAUCUGGAGGAAUACCGGUGGCGAAGGCGGCCCCCUGGACGAAGACUGACGCUCAGGUGCGAAAGCGUGGGGAGCAAACAGGAUUAGAUACCCCGGUAGUC